CCUACGGGUGGCAGCAGUGGGGAAUAUUGGACAAUGGGGGGAACCCUGAUCCAGCCAUGCCGCGUGUGUGAAGAAGGCCCUCGGGUUGUAAAGCACUUUCAGUGAGGAAGAACGCCUGGUGGUUAAUACCCAUCAGGAAAGACAUCACUCACAGAAGAAGCACCGGCUAACUCCGUGCCAGCAGCCGCGGUAAUACGGAGGGUGCGAGCGUUAAUCGGAAUUACUGGGCGUAAAGCGCGCGUAGGUGGCUUGAUAAGCCGGUUGUGAAAGCCCCGGGCUCAACCUGGGAACGGCAUCCGGAACUGUCAAGCUUGAGUGCAGGAGAGGAAGGUAGAAUUCCCGGUGUAGCGGUGAAAUGCGUAGAGAUCGGGAGGAAUACCAGUGGCGAAGGCGGCCUUCUGGACUGACACUGACACUGAGGUGCGAAAGCGUGGGUAGCAAACAGGAUUAGAUACCCGAGUAGUC
rnacentral:rRNA from 1 species